UUUUUUUAAAUCAUGAAAUAGGUGGUUUGUUAAAGAACGUCGUCUCUUAAGGUAAAUCAAGAAGACACACUGGCAAAUCACAGGACUUCAACAGAUGCUAAAGGACUGCUGAGGUACACCAGACUGAACUCCACCAUGCCAGUUUGCAGUGCAGACUACAAAGUUUUGACACCCUAACUCUGUGUAUUUGGAUGUUGAUCAAGAUCUCAGACCAGACUUCCGCCUUACAAGGGAUUCAAUGAAUGGUUUGAUGAUGGUUCUGAAAAGAGAUCAAGAUCAUGGCUGGGGGUAUCCACUGGAGAUUUUGGUCUUUGUGUAUUGGCUUGCACAUGGAAUAUCAUACAGAGUUGCAGCCCGAGCAUUCUCUGUGCCAAAGUCAACAGUCUGCCGGGUUGUGCACCAAAUUGCACAAGCAAUAAAGGAAAAUGCACACAAAGUCAUCUGUUAUCCAAAACAGGAGGAGUUAGAGGACAUUGGGGAGGGAUUUGCACGUUUAGCCCGCCACAAAGCUUUUCACAAAGCUGUUGGUGCAGUGGACGGCUGUCUUAUUCGAAUUAAGCCCCCAAAUCAAAACAAAGACGACUACUUUAGUUAUAAGCAUUUCUACUCCAUUCACAUGCAAGCUAUUUGUGACUCCAGCGCACGAUUUCUGAACAUUUUCAUUGGGUUUCCUGGCUCUGUCCAUGACACUCGUGUUCUUAAAAA